rnacentral:rRNA from 1 species
CGCGGCCUAUCAGCUUGUUGGUGAGGUAAUGGCUCGCCAAGGCGACGACGGGUAGCCGGCCUGAGAGGGUGACCGGCCACACUGGGACUGAGACACGGCCCAGACUCCUACGGGAGGCAGCAGUGGGGAAUAUUGCACAAUGGGCGAAAGCCUGAUGCAGCAACGCCGCGUGCAGGAUGACGGCCUUCGGGUUGUAAACCGCUUUCAGUGGGGACGAAGCUAACGUGACGGUACCUACAGAAGAAGCACCGGCCAACUACGUGCCAGCAGCCGCGGUGAUACGUAGGGUGCGAGCGUUGUCCGGAAUUAUUGGGCGUAAAGGGAUUGUAGGCGGUUCGUCGCGUCGAAAGUGAAAACUCAGGGCUCAACCCUGAGCCUGCUUUCGAUACGGGCGGACUAGAGGUAUGCAGGGGAGAACGGAAUUCCUGGUGGAGCGGUGGAAUGCGCAGAUAUCAGGAGGAACACCGGUGGCGAAGGCGGUUCUCUGGGCAUUACCUGACGCUGAGAAUCGAAAGCGUGGGGAGCAAACAGGCUUAGAUACCCUGGUAGUCCACGCCGUAAACGGUGGGCACUAGGUGUGGGGGACAUUCCACGUUCUCCGUGCCGAAGCUAACGCAUUAAGUGCCCCGCCUGGGGAGUACGG